CGACUAGAGCCUUAGGGCCCCUCGCCUAGGCUGCUCAGGGCGCGAGCCAACGGAGAGCCCGGGGCAGAGGCCGGACCUGGGGGGAAGGACAGGGUGGGAUGGCGGGGGGGGGGGAAACUUCCUGCCUCAGUUUCCCUGCGGGGUCAUCAAGAAGUCGGUAGCUGCGGAGGCCCGUUCUGCAGCUCAGACGGAAACUGCCUGUCCUGGGAGUGUGGGUGGGUCUCCCUCCUCCGGACCUUUGCCUGGCCCUAGUCCGUAUCGCGUUGCCAAUUUCAGCCCCGGCACAGCCUCAGUGAAGGUGGCCCGUGUCACAGUGAGCUCACUAGUGGGCCCCGCGAGCUCUUGGAACUCGAGGAGGUUUUGGUAGGUGUCCUUUCGGAGAACAUGAGCACGGCCCCACCGACAGCAAUUCGGGACUGUGAAAGGAGCGCCGGUUCUGGCCUUCAGACACUCGCUAGCCGUGCGACCCCGGCAAUUCCCUUCACUUCUGCCUGCCUCAGUUCCUGAUCUGUAAAAGGAGGCUGACAAGAGCACCGACCUCCCCAGGGUGGUUGGGAGGAUAAUCUAACAUAAUGAUGGAGUUUGCCCUUUGGAGCACAGCAUGUGAGAAUAUUUGUCAUCAAAUCAGAGUAUUUAUUACAGCUGCUGUUUAUUACUGAAACAUUCCUGGGUUUCUUCAAUGCCUCUGCCAUUACAGUUCUAGGAAGAAAAUGGAUUUGGUCUGCCUGGAACAGGAAACCAAAGUGCAUAAAGCUAGAUGGAUUCGCUGCAUGGGGAAUGAGGGCAUGUGAUUGCCUGACAAACAACUCAUGAAUAAAUAUCACUUUCUGGGCCCCAACUUAUCCUCUUGGACGUUUCCUGAGAGAAAUGAGUGAAGGCAGCGAAGGAUUGGUUGAACCCAAGUAUGUUUUUGCUAUGCUUUUCAAUUGCUCACUCCAUGCUGUGGAUUGGUGGUUAUUGGAUGGAGACCAUAACUGAUGAAGUGGCUGAUGGAGUCAGGCUCCACCAUGGGCAUCCACAAAAAGUUUCACCUCUGAGGCAUGUCGCUGGCACGCCCUUGAGGGUGAGUGUCAGAUCAAUGAAGGCAACGAUGAAGGAACCCACGGCACCGACUCCUUCCCUGAUACCUGCUUCCCAUGGACUUGGACCUCUGACCUUGACCUCUGCCUGCUUCCCAGGGUGGCUGGCUCAUCUGCUGGGCUGGGGUGGAGUGCUAGAGUGAGUCAAGGACAACCGCAGGCCAGAAGAGGUCCCUCCUGUGCCCACCCCACCAUCCCUUAGUUCUUCAUCCCUCGGGUGCCCAUUUGGUUGCGUCCAGAUUUAUAUCUGCUCCCGUCCUUUCGCUUUUUCACACCCCACUGAGCAGCUGAAGCCAGGUGAGCACAUCCGACUUCAGAAACUCUAUGAGUGGACCAGCCCCGAGACCCUAGGCCAAUAGCUGGCUCCCUUUUUCUCCCCUGUCCCCAUCAGAGCAGAGCCAGGAGAGAGUUCCAACAAUGUAGAAUGUUAGAAAGAUGGGGAGUGCGUUAGCCCAGGUAGACCCCAGUCUUACCUGUGGGAGAACUGAGGCUCAGGUGCUAGGUGCAUUUGCUCAAGGUCAUGUGACCAGGUGGCAGAGCUGGAAAAAAUUACCUUAAUUUCUAAUAUUUUAAUAAACUAAAUGCUUCUUCUAAAGUGACAUCAUCUUUUUAAAAAUUUUUUUUUAUUUUUUUUUAGGCAAUUGGGGUUAAAUGACUUGUCCAGAUUUGAACUCAGGUCCUCCUGUCUUCAGGACUGGUAUGCUAUCCACUGUGCCCCCUAGCUGCCCCCUAAAGUUAUGUCAUCUUAAAUUUCAUAGCUCCAGAAGCUUGGCAGUCAUCCCACUCAUGGGUAGCCUGGACUCCAUAGUGAUGGGGUUCCCAGGUUUCAGGACCUUCAUAGCUGCGAUGGGAGUGAAUGGGUGGAAGAUAAGGUGAAGCACAUGCCCAGUGCCUGAGAAGCAAGAGGAGGAAAAGCAUCAUGAGAGCCCCAUCAGUUGUGCAUACUGUCUAAUGGCAAUGAGCAAUCUUGGUCUCAGAAAGGCCAUGAGGAAAUGAACCUCCCUCCCCCUUGGAGAGGUGGAGGACCAUGGGUGCAGAAUAUUGCAUACGCUGUCAGAGGUGGCCGAAGCAUCGUUUGGUUUUAAUUUAUUAUAAGAGAAAGCUCAAUGGGUGGGGGAGGGGUGAUGGUGAGGUAAAAAUCAAAGACGUCAAUAAAACAGAACCCCUUUGUAAAUAAUAGAUGUUUGUUGAAAAUACCGAUGAUCAUUUCAGUUCCAAAUGAUUAGCGGAACUGUUAACUAUAGUCAUAAAUAAUAUGGGCAGUCAGGUGGUACAGUGGACAGAGUGCUAGACUUGGAAUCAAGAAAA